AUUGAACGCUGGCGGCAGGCCUAACACAUGCAAGUCGAACGGUAACAGGAAGCAGCUUGUUGCUUUGCUGACGAGUGGCGGACGGGUGAGUAAUGUCUGGGAAACUGCCUGAUGGAGGGGGAUAACUACUGGAAACGGUAGCUAAUACCGCAUAACGUCGCAAGACCAAAGAGGGGGACCUUAGGGCCUCUUGCCAUCGGCUGUGCCCAGAUGGGAUUAGCUAGUAGGUGGGGUAACGGCUCACCUAGGCGACGAUCCCUAGCUGGUCUGAGAGGAUGACCAGCCACACUGGAACUGAGACACGGUCCAGACUCCUACGGGAGGCAGCAGUGGGGAAUAUUGCACAAUGGGCGCAAGCCUGAUGCAGCAAUGCCGCGUGUAUGAAGAAGGCCUUCGGGUUGUAAAGUACUUUCAGAGGGGAGGAAGGGAGUAAAGUUAAUACCUUUACUCAUUGACGUUACCCGCAGAAGAAGCACCGGCUAACUCCGUG
rnacentral:rRNA from 1 species